GACGAACGCUGGCGGCGUGCCUAAUACAUGCAAGUCGAGCGGACAGGCGCGGCGCUUGCGGCUUGCUCGAUUGGGGAAGGGGUGUGUAACACGUGUGUAACCUGCCCCUAACUUAGUGGUAACUCUAGGAGACAGGGGCGAAUACCGGGGAGGAGCUCCUGCUGCGUGGUGGGGGAUGGAAAGAUUCGGCGGUGGGGGAUCGUCUGGCUGCUUAUGAGCUUGUUGGUGGGGUAGGGGCUUACCAAGUCUUCGACGGAUAGCCGGCCUGAGAGGGUGACCGGCCACCUUGGUACUGAGAUACGGACCAGACGCCUACGGGAGGCAGCAGUGGGGAGUCUUGCACAAUGGGCGGAAGCCUGAGACAGCAACGCCGCGUGCGGGAUGCUGGCCUUCGGGUUAUAAACCGAUUUCGCCUGUGACGAAGCGUGAGUGACGGUACUGGGUAAGGAAGCACCGGCUAACUACGUG
rnacentral:rRNA from 1 species